GGGGUUACUGCGACAGAUCCCUUCGGGGUGACGUUGCUUUAACCUAGCGGCGGACGGGUGAGUAACGCGUGGGUAACCUACCCUAAAGCUCGGGAUAACAGUGGGAAACCGCUGCUAAUACCGGAUGACUUUAACCUAUGGCAUCAUGGGUUAAAGAAAGAUUUAUCGCUUUAGGAUGGGCCCGCGUCCCAUUAGCUAGUUGGUGAGGUAACGGCUCACCAAGGCGACGAUGGGUAGCCGGCCUGAGAGGGUGUACGGCCACACUGGGACUGAGACACGGCCCAGACUCCUACGGGAGGCAGCAGUAGGGAAUAUUGCGCAAUGGACGGAAGUCUGACGCAGCGACGCCGCGUGAGCGAUGAAGGCCUUCGGGUCGUAAAGCUCUGUCCUUGGGGAAGAAGGUCUUCGGACUUGACGGUACCCAAGAAGAAAGCCCCGGCUAACUACGUGCCAGCAGCCGCGGUAAUACGUAGGGGGCGAGCGUUGUCCGGAAUUACUGGGCGUAAAGGGUGCGUAGGCGGCCCUUUAAGUCAGAUGUGAAAGGC
rnacentral:rRNA from 1 species